AUUGAACGCUGGCGGCAUGCCUUACACAUGCAAGUCGAACGGCAGCACGGGUGCUUGCACCUGGUGGCGAGUGGCGAACGGGUGAGUAAUACAUCGGAACAUGUCCUGUAGUGGGGGAUAGCCCGGCGAAAGCCGGAUUAAUACCGCAUACGAUCUACGGAUGAAAGCGGGGGCCCUUCGGGCCUCGCGCUAUAGGGUUGGCUGAUGGCUGAUUAGCUAGUUGGUGGGGUAAAGGCCUACCAAGGCGACGAUCAGUAGCUGGUCUGAGAGGACGACCAGCCACACUGGGACUGAGACACGGCCCAGACUCCUACGGGAGGCAGCAGUGGGGAAUUUUGGACAAUGGGCGAAAGCCUGAUCCAGCAAUGCCGCGUGUGUGAAGAAGGCCUUCGGGUUGUAAAGCACUUUUGUCCGGAAAGAAAUCCUUGGCCCUAAUACGGUCGGGGGAUGACGGUACCGGAAGAAUAAGCACCGGCUAACUACGUG
rnacentral:rRNA from 1 species